UACGAAGGGGGCUAGCGUUGCUCGGAAUCACUGGGCGUAAAGCGCACGUAGGCGGAUUGUUAAGUCAGGGGUGAAAUCCUGGAGCUCAACUCCAGAACUGCCUUUGAUACUGGCGAUCUCGAGUCCGGGAGAGGUGGGUGGAACUGCGAGUGUAGAGGUGAAAUUCGUAGAUAUUCGCAAGAACACCAGUGGCGAAGGCGGCUCACUGGCCCGGUACUGACGCUGAGGUGCGAAAGCGUGGGGAGCAAACAGG
rnacentral:rRNA from 1 species